CUUUUAAUUUGCUUUUCAUGUUUUAAGAGGAAGGGGCUGAACUGACGUUUACAAGAAACUUUCCUUUGCCCUCUCUGGGCUAAUGACACACUGGGUAACUUUAACAUAGGACUGGUUAGGACAUUGAUAGAACUACAUUAUCCCAUGUUGAAUCACAACUCACUUUUAUAAUGGCCUGAUUUUAGGGUGGGUGGACAAAUGCUAAACAGACAUUUGAUGAUCAGGCAGCACGUUUGGAGACAAAUUUGAUAAUGAUGAUAGGGGCUUUUGAUGGCUCCUGGAGGUGACACGGCAGGCUUGACCAUGCUCACCGUGGUGGUGUCCCUAAGAGGAGCUCCUGCCAACCUGCAAAUGCCAUGAAGUCUGAGGGGUUAAUUUCCAGCCAGGGUUCUGUGGCAGAUCAAGAAUGCACUGCCAGCUGGGAGCUGAUUUAGCACACUUGAGCCAAUUUAGAAGGGUAUUAUGCAGUCAGAGAAGAGAGGUGGAGGCUAGUGUGUUGUGCUGAUUAGAUACUAGAGUAAGGACCUCUGUAGUAACAGCUUCACACGGUUUCUGAUCUCUGAAAGUACUUUGCGUUGGGUGGGAAGUGUGGCACUGCAAGAUACAAGAAGAUGGAUUCAGGACAUAGUCUUUAGUGUAAACCAUGGACCAAGAAGGACCAAGACACUUGACUGAAGGUCCUCUCAUGAAGGCAGCCUUAAAGACCUACCUCAGAGCCACUCUCGAACUUGGCACCAAGUACCUCAAAAUUGGUGCAGAGUGCUUCUCCAUUGACCCAGGACUCUCGGCACUGGGCAUCUUCUCUGGUGCUCAGGAAGAAGCACUGCAAACAUCAAGACAAGCAGUACCAGUACCAAGGGUGAAAGAAGAUGGGGAGAGAGCGAGAUCUGCGUCAGGCUGCAAUUCCUCCCCGGCACCACAUCAUCCGGUGCCUGCAACUCCAGUGCUGCAGCAAGCCCCUCAUACACCUACAAAAGGGAGAAGCCUCAGAGCAAAUGCACCACCCGUCAACUCCUGAGGCUUUUGCAUCUGCCAGCGACCUUCUUAUCCUAUUGGUACCAGGGUCCUUGGAGGGUCGAGACUUGGUGCCACCGAGUAGCAGGGAGCCAGCACCAGAACCUCACCCGGUGCCAUGCCCAAUGUCCAGAGGAAUACCUCCCAUUAUUACCUCGGUGACCCUCUCCGGAACCCAGUGGUCCAGCACCACCCUGGUCUCUUCACCACAGCUUUCCAUCUUCAUUGGACUCUGAGGUGGGCUUGUAUUCCCCUUCUUAGCACAGCCAAUCUUGUUGCUCUCCACACCAUUCAUAUUCCACCAUGACCCUGACUUACACGAUGCCUUCAGGCAUUUGGUCACUGGGUCCAUGGGGGACUGCCAGCUAUUCAAUGGCUGUUUUGGAACCUUUGAUGGUUUACCCCAAUAUAGGGCACCCCCUCCAGAUGCUCAUACUCUGUUGUCUAGGCAGUCAAGGCACCCUGGCACCGUGCAGAGAGGCUAUGUAUCUGGACUCCGGUACCAAAUAUGUCACCAAGACUUGGGAGGAAGCCUAGCAGACUCCUGCAGACAUUUAGGAACCAGCAGAGACUCCUCAGCCUGUAUUUUAACUUCCCCAUCCUCGUCUCUGGACAAAGCACUAAUAACACCAGGGAUCUCCCCACCACAGGAUGCCUACAAGGAUUGCCAGGACUUGUAAAAAAGGAUGGCCUUGAACUUGGGAGUCCAAGCAGAGGUGGUCAAAGAGGCAGCACAUGGUCUCCUGGAUAUUUUGUCACCAGUGGACCCCUCGAGAGUGGCUCUACCACUAAGUGAAGCCAUCAUGAACCCAAUAAAGGUCUUGUGGCAGACUCCUGCCUCCCUCCCUCUGACAGCAAAGUGCACAGAGUGCAAAUAUUUCAUACUGGCCAAAGUGUACAAAUUCCUCUUUUCUCACCCUCCCCCGGGAUCCCUGGUUCUAGUGGCAGCAAUUGAAAAAGAUCACCAGGAACAGACAGUUCCUGUGCCCAAGGCAAAGGAAACAAAGAAAUUGGACCUAUUUGGAUGGGAAAGCUUAUUCUACAGGGGUCCGUCAGCUCCACAUAGUGAACCUGCAAGCCAUGCUGGGUCAUUAGGAUUUUAAUAUGUGGGAGUUUUAAAAUCCAAGGACCUACUCCCUGAAGACUCCAGACAGGAGUUUUCCUCCCUGAUCAUGGAGGUGAAAAUCAUAACACCUGCCUCCUUUCAGACUGCCCUAGAUGCAGCUAAGUCUGCAGCCAGAUCAAUGGCUACAGUGGUAUCAAUGUGCCGGAGCUCUUGCUUGCAGUCCUCGGGGCUCCCUCACAAGGUGCAAUAGACUAUUCAAGGCAUCCUGUUUUGAGGGAUCUUCACUCUUCUCAGAGCAAACAGACACUAAUCUGCAUGUUCUCAAGGACUUGAAAGCAACCUUGAAAUCCCUGGGAUUACCAGGGUAUACCAGCAGGGUCAAGGAAUCAGUACAGUCCACAGCAGACAGACUGCUACUUCUCUCAGCUACUUCUUCUAGCAUAGAGCAGCUAAAAGCCUCUUGUAUCACCAUCUCAACCGGUAUCUCAAGAACUUAAAGUUCUGCAUGGUUUCCUUGGCUUCCAUCAUUCCCGCACUGGAUCCCGGGGCUGGUAUGCUGCCCUCGAUCUAAAAGAUGCUUACUUCCACUUCUUGAUCUUUUGUGGCCACAGAUGUUUCCUAAGGUUUAUAGUGAACUAAAGUCUGCAUCAGUUCACAAUGCUCCUGUUCGGCCUUUCAGCCACCCUGUGAAUUUUCACCAAGUGUAUGGCA